rnacentral:rRNA from 1 species
CACGUAGGGGACGAGCGUUGUCCGGAAUCAUUGGGCGUAAAGCGUCCGCAGGUGGCAGUUCAAGUCUGCUGUCAAAGACCGGGGCUUAACUUCGGAAAGGCAGUGGAAACUGAACAGCUAGAGUAUGGUAGGGGCAGAGGGAAUUCCUGGUGUAGCGGUGAAAUGCGUAGAGAUCAGGAAGAACAUCGGUGGCGAAGGCGCUCUGCUGGACCAUAACUGACACUCAGGGACGAAAGCUAGGGGAGCGAAUGGG